rnacentral:rRNA from 1 species
CCUGCCACCCAUAAGAGGUCCAGCCUGCCCAGUGACUCUGUUCAACGGCCGCGGUAUCCUAACCGUGCGAAGGUAGCGUAAUCACUUGUUCUUUAAAUGAGGACUAGUAUGAACGGCACUACGAGGGUUACACUGUCUCCUUUUCCAAAUCAGUGAAACUAAUCUCCCCGUGAAGAAGCGGGAAUAAACCUAUAAGACGAGAAGACCCUAUGGAGCUUCAAACUUCCCAGCAAUUAUUUUUUACUAAUUCAAUCUCAAGAUAAUAAAAUGAACCCCCUAUAAUAUGACUGCAAGUUUUCGGUUGGGGUGACCACGGAGUAAAAUCUAUCCUCCACAAUGAAUUAUAAACCUUAGCUUUAAACAAAGAAACACAAUUCUAUGUAUCAAAAAAUUGACAUUAUUGACCCAAUAUUUUGACCAAUGAAC